rnacentral:lncRNA from 1 species
UUAUAUUAUAGUGAUGUUUCUCGUUUCGUAUAUAUGUUUCAUACCAAUUUUUAACUUCCAUGACAACGUACGGGCAUAUACCUAUAAAUUUAUUAUAAAAGAGAUUCAAAGAUCUAUCUAACCAUAUUAAUGUUCUCUUAAACUUUGGUAAGCUUACGUACUUUUGCUAUGGAUCCUUUUGAAUCAAUUACAAGGUAAUUCAUUUAAAAACCGUAGUAACACACGUGUACCUAAAUAUCAUAUAUAAAAGUUUGCAUGGUACUGAUGAUUACAAUGUAGUGGUGAAAUAACCAGAUUAAAAUAACAAAAAUUAUGUAUGGAUAUGAUCACAAAUGUAUUAAGAAAUCUUUUCUCAUAACAGUACCAUGGUAUUAUGUGUUCCCGUUGCAACGCACGGGCACUGACCUAGUUAUCUUAUAUGAACCGAACUCAUAUGUACUAUGGGUUGAAUUUAUAUUAAAACUCGGGGUUUAGUUUGUGAAAAACAAGACUUAAAUUUAAUUUUCUUACUACCAGAUAGGACAUCGGGUUGAAUUCAUAUAAACGUGAGGUCUCUAAGGGAUAUGGACUCAUGCUGACCGCCUGAUCUAAACAUGACGGCUCAGAUUUUUCUGCUAUCCUAUGUGAACCGGUACUCAACGCGAGCCGCCGGAUCUCAAAUCCUUGGCCCAAAACGUGUCCACGUUACAGGAAUGCACUAGCCCUCGGGUCGUUGAUCGACGGCCCAUAUUUAAUUUUCCCAAUUGGUGUCUAGCAUUUAAUCUCGUUCGACUAUCAGGGAACCAACGGUCAGGGGCCGUCUUCAACCCCUAGAACACAGACGCGGUGGCGCCCUUGGUUGACACGGUGGCGCCAUCACCGAAGCCCCCAAGCCCCUGGUCCCGAAAACGAUCCUUCAAUCCGUAAGCAACUACACAUAGCAGAGAGAAAAACGAAGUGAUGGGGAGCGCUCUUACCCGAGAUAGUCACGUGUAACGUCUCGGCCAUGGCGGCGUGUGGCUCUCGGAGUCCGGUGAGAGCAUGCCCGUGAUCCGAAACUUCCCCCACGCUCAGCAGUGCCCCAGACUUGUGUGGCACGAUCCCAUGAAACUUCCAGGCCCGGACGCCCGGUACCGAGGCCUCGUCAUUGGUAUAUCCAUAGAAUCAUGCCGGCGACUAGCUUGUCCCCCUUUCCCUCUUAGACAUGUUUGUUCUCAUGAUUUUCUGUGUUGGUGCUGCGUUGGACGAGGAGGAAAGGGCGGGCGACGACCGGAAUUUAUAC